rnacentral:rRNA from 1 species
UACAGAGGUCUCAAGCGUUGUUCGGAUUCACUGGGCGUAAAGGGUGCGUAGGCGGUCGGGUAAGUCUGAUGUGAAAUCUCACAGCUUAACUGUGAAACUGCAUUGGAUACUAUCCGGCUAGAGGAAUGGAGGGGAGACUGGAAUACUUGGUGUAGCAGUGAAAUGCGUAGAUAUCAAGUGGAACACCAGUGGCGAAGGCGAGUCUCUGGACAUUUCCUGACGCUGAGGCACGAAAGCCAGGGGAGCAAACAGG